rnacentral:rRNA from 1 species
GAUCAUGGCUCAGGAUGAACGCUAGCGGCAGGCUUAAUACAUGCAAGUCAAGGGGGUAGCAAUACAACCGGCGCACGGGUGAGUAACGCGUACACAACAUACCAUAUACUGGAGUAUAGCUUUGGGAAACUGAAGGUAAUCCUCCAUAACAUUGCGAGAGGGCAUCUGAUUGCAAUUAAAGUUUCGGCGGUAUAUGAUUGGUGUGCGUUUGAUUAGCUAGUUGGUAGGGUAACGGCCUACCAAGGCGACGAUCAAUAGCUGGCGUGAGAGCGCGACCAGCCACACUGGAACUGAGACACGGUCCAGACUCCUACGGGAGGCAGCAGUAGGGAAUAUUGGACAAUGGAGGAAACUCUGAUCCAGCCAUGCCGCGUGAUAGAUGAAGGCCCUCUGGGUUGUAAAUAUCUUUUAUCUGGGAAGAAACAAUCUUAUUCUUAAGAUCUUGACGGUACCAGAGGAAUAAGCACCGGCUAACUCCGUG